UGGGGAAUUUUGGACAAUGGACGCAAGUCUGAUCCAGCCAUGCCGCGUGCGGGAAGAAGGCCUUCGGGUUGUAAACCGCUUUUGUCAGGGAAGAAACGAGUUUCUCUAAUACAGAGACUUAAUGACGGUACCUGAAGAAUAAGCACCGGCUAACUACGUGCCAGCAGCCGCGGUAAUACGUAGGGUGCGAGCGUUAAUCGGAAUUACUGGGCGUAAAGCGUGCGCAGGCGGUUAUAUAAGACAGAUGUGAAAUCCCCGGGCUCAACCUGGGAACUGCCUUUGUGACUGCAUAGCUAGAGUACGGUAGAGGGGAAUGGAAUUCCGCGUGUAGCAGUGAAAUGCGUAGAUAUGCGGAGGAACACCGAUGGCGAAGGCAAUCCCCUGGACCUGUACUGACGCUCAUGCACGAAAGCGUGGGGAGCAAACA
rnacentral:rRNA from 1 species